UGGCUUUUUCAGGAGCUGGUGAUUCUGAAGACGGCCCAGGCAUCAUGGCUCAUGCUACUGUUUAUGUGGGUUUUACUGUUCCUCGAUUAUUGAGAGGUGCGAGCAGAAUUUUUCCCACUUGUCCUGCAUUAGUGGUGUUGAGGCACUCUGCUUUUUGUUACUGCACAGUGAAUGGGUAAUUUCACAAGCAAAAGUGUGUGGAAUCACCAAUGAAUCCAAGACAGUCAAAAGACUUCGUUUGGCUAUUGCCAAUAAAGAAUUUACUUUCAAAGCAGGACAGUGGGUUGAUUUCUUUAUUCCUGGAGUAUCUGUAGUUGGGGGAUUCUCAAUAUGUUCAAGCCCUGGCCUGUUGGAACGAGAAGGAAUAUUAGAGCUGGCAGUAAAGCACACUGUUCAUCCUCCUGCUCACUGGAUUCACACUGAGUGCACUCUUGACUCAGAAGUGGCUCUGCGAGUGGGAGGUGAUUUCUUCUUUGAUCCUCAGCCUGAUGACUCCCCUGUAAAACUAGUGCUGAUAGCAGGGGGUGUUGGAAUUAACCCACUGUUUUCUAUACUGCUGCAUAUAGCAGAUCUUCAGGGAUACCAAGAGGGUAAAGGAAACAGAUACAAAAUGGGAACAGCGAAGCUGUACUACAGUGCGAAAAAUACAAGUGAACUCUUAUUUAAGAAAAAUAUUCUUGGUUUGAUGAACGCGUUUCCUGGACAGAUCACAUGUCGUUUCCACGUUACCCAACAGAGGUUACAGAUCUGUAAAGAACUUCAGCCACAUGUUACAGAGGGAAGAAUAUCUGAAAAGGAUCUAGAAAAACAUGUAUCUAAGGAUACUUUAUGGUACAUCUGUGGUCCACCUCCAAUGAUAGAAUCUAUAUCCAAACUACUGGCUAAGAUGGGUGUUCCUAGAAACUCUGUUUUCUUUGAGAAAUGGUGGUAGUGACACCUGCUUUUUUGCUGAACAGAAAAUCUAUUAGUUGUUUCCAGUGUAUUUUAAUAAGCUGAAAUGUACAGAAAAUGGACUAUGAAUUAUUUGGAAGAUUUUACUUCAUACAUGAAGAUGUCCUCGAUCAUAAUGGUGGUCCUUUAAUUUAAUACACCUGCUGUAAUACAGUGCUGCUGGUUUGGGGGGAAAAAUGAUUUUAUAUUAAAGACAUUAACUGUU